rnacentral:rRNA from 1 species
GACGAACGCUGGCGGCGUGCUUAACACAUGCAAGUCGAGCGAGGUCCAUCCAGUGGCAACACUGGGGAAGACCUAGCGGCGAACGGGUGAGUAACACGUGAGCAACCUGCCCCGAAGACUGGGAUAACACCGGGAAACCGGUGCUAAUACCGGAUCCCCUCCUCUGGUCGCAUGGCCUAGGGAGGAAAUGACUGCACCUCAAAAAUGCAGCUGCUUCGGGAGGGACUCGCGGGCUAUCAGCUUGUUGGUGGGGUAACGGCUCACCAAGGCGACGACG